GAGAUUUUAAGUUAAAAAUCAAACUUAUAACCUUCAAAGUUAUAUAUAUCUUCUAAGGUAAGUCUUA
rnacentral:tRNA from 1 species